AUUGAACGCUGGCGGCAGGCCUAACACAUGCAAGUCGAGCGGAGCGGCGGACGGGUGAGUAAUGCCUAGGAAUCUGCCUGGCUGUGGGUGAUAACGUCCGUAAACGGGCGCUAAUACCGCAUCCUAUCGGAUGAGCCUCGGUCGGAUUAGCUUGGGGGGGGGGUAAAGGCCUACCCAGGCGACGGUCCGUAACUGGUCUGAGAGGAGGAUCAGUCACAUGGGAACGGAGACAGGGUCCAGACGCCUACGGGAGGCAGCAGUGGGGAAUAUUGGACAAUGGGCGAAAGCCUGACCCAGCCAGGCCGCGUGUGUUAAGAAGGUCUUGGGAUUGUAAAGCACUUUAAGGUGGGAGGCGUUACCUACAGAAUAAGCACCGGCUAACUACGUGCCAGCAGCCGCGGUAAUAC
rnacentral:rRNA from 1 species